rnacentral:lncRNA from 1 species
AAAAGACAGAAGCAGAGAAACAAGACUUAGGAAAGAAGUGGACAGAUGGCCGUAGCAGUGAUCAUCAUCACUUGUGCGGUUCUAUCAAUCUACCUAUGCAUUUCUACGCCACCUCUCACCAGAGUGCUUGCCUCCUGUUCUCCCUAAGCAAUGAGGUUAAUAUUGAAGGACCAGGUCCAUGGUGCUGGAAGAAUCCAGGCGGAGAGGACAGAACCAAUCUUUGCAGCAUCUGCUUCCAUUGUCCUCCCCAUUUCAUCUUAACCACAUCCCUGGCCUUUUAUUUCUUUCCCACAAUGUGAGGGCAAUAAAGAUUAACCUAUCUACUUAAGUUUUGUAA